AAGAUAAUAAUAAGUUUUAUAAUAUUAGUAUGUCAUACUAAAGAGGUGAAUAUCCCUCAGUUAAGCCCUUU
rnacentral:tRNA from 1 species